rnacentral:rRNA from 1 species
AGCAGCCGCGGUAAUUCCAGCUCCAAUAGCGUAUAUUAAAGUUGUUGCAGUUAAAAAGCUCGUAGUUGAAUUUCGGGAUCAAUAUGUCGGUCGUGCCUUCGGUACGUACUGGUAUCAUUGGUCUCUCCUUUCUGACGAACCAUGAUGUCAUUAAUUUGGUGUUAUGGGGAGUUAGGACUGUUACUUUAGAAAAAAUUAGAGUGUUUAAAGCAGGCUUUAGCUUGAAUACAUUAGCAUGGAAUAAUGAAAUAGGACGUUCGAACCUAUUUUGUUGGUUUCUAGGAUCAACGUAAUGAUUAAUAGGGAUAGUUGGGGGCAUUAGUAUUCAAUUGUCAGAGGUGAAAUUCUUGGAUUUAUUGAAGACUAACUACUGCGAAAGCAUUUGCCAAGGAUGUUUUCAUUAAUCAAGAACGAAAGUUAGGGGAUCGAAGACGAUCAGAUACCGUCGUAGUCUUAACCAUAAACUAUGCCGACUAGGGAUCGGAUGAUGUUAAUUUUUAAUGACUCAUUCGGCGCCUUA